CUAAGCCAUACUGCACACUUACGAGUUGUGAAUUGCGAUUCAUCUUUUUCUCAGCAUCUCAUACGAGUGACUUUGCCCUCUUUCCUCUCGCUUUCGGCCUCACGAAUCACGAUCUUAGCAGCUCAGCCUCUCCUCCCUCUCGUCCUCACAAUCUCAUAUCUCAAUCUCGACUAAGGAGUCAUAGUACUCUCGCCCCUCGGUCCUCGCUCAUGAUUUCACUUUAUCGGCGUAUUCUCCUUCACAGUGCUCACUUCUCGGCCAGCUCAAUAUCAUCGACAUCAAUGGUCUCUCGAUGGAAUCCUCUAGCUGCUCACAAUAGACUCCUCUAGACAGAGAACUGUGGGUGCUCGUUCUUGCCUCUGUUAUAGUUCUCAAUCUCGACUUCAGGACCUAAGUCACCUUUUAAAAUGUUGGACAUGAAAGCUAUAAUUAGAGCGCGACUAGCAAAUGUAAUCGUUACAGGAACCAAUUUCAGCCUUUGAUUAUGUGAUUCUCAUGCUUUGAUUCUAUGAUUUUAUUUUAAUUUUUUUUAAAUGGGCUUAAAAGCUCGAUCCUGAGUUCUUUAAAUAAGGGCUGGGUCUCAAAAAUAGAGUAUUUUUAAGAAAAUCAGGCUUCAAGACUUAGGCUUAUAUGGGUCAGACCCGCCCGUUUCCCAACUCUAGAUGGGAGCUGAAAUCUGGAGGGGAGAGGGGAGAGAUAUGGUAAGGGCAUUUUUGUUAAUUUGAAGCUUCAAAUUAAUGCCACCGAAGGACCUUAAUUUGUAAUCUAUCAUAAGUCCUUCUUAGCAAAUGAAAUUUGGUCAGGUUUUUUUGGACAAUUUUUCCUAAUAUUAAUUGAAUAUAUUUUCUAUGAUA